rnacentral:rRNA from 1 species
GGAGUUUGGACCGUGUCUCAGUUCCAAUGUGGGGGACCUUCCUCUCAGAACCCCUACUGAUCGAUGGCUCGGUGGGCCGUUACCCCGCCGACUACCUAAUCAGACGCAUCCCCAUCCUAUAGCGGCAAGCCUUUGUUCCAUUUUAGAUGUCUGCAUUGGAAAACAUAGAGUAUUAAUCCGACUUUCGCCGGGCUAUCCUCUACUAUAGGGAAGGUUGGAUACGCGUUACUCACCCGUGCGCCGGUCGCCAUCAAAGUUUGCAAGCAAACUUCAUGCUGCCCCUCGACUUGCAUGUGUUAAGCCUGUAGCUAGCGUUCAUC